rnacentral:rRNA from 1 species
UACGAAGGGGGCUAGCGUUGUUCGGAUUUACUGGGCGUAAAGCGCACGUAGGCGGAUCGUUAAGUCGGGGGUGAAAUCCUGGAGCUCAACUCCAGAACUGCCUUCGAUACUGGCGAUCUAGAGUCCGGAAGAGGUGAGUGGAACUCCUAGUGUAGAGGUGGAAUUCGUAGAUAUUAGGAGGAACACCAGUGGCGAAGGCGGCUCACUGGUCCGGUACUGACGCUGAGGUGCGAAAGCGUGGGGAGCAAACAGG